CACGUAGGGCGCAAGCGUUGUCCGGAAUUAUUGGGCGUAAAGAGCUCGUAGGCGGACUGUCACGUCCGCUGUGAAAAGCUAGGGCUUAACCCUGGCCUUGCAGUGGAUACGGGCAGACUAGAGGUAGGUAGGGGAGAAUGGAAUUCCCGGUGUAGCGGUGAAAUGCGCAGAUAUCGGGAGGAACACCGGUGGCGAAGGCGGUUCUCUGGGCCGAUAUUGACGCUGAGGAGCGAAAGCGUGGGGAGCGAACAGG
rnacentral:rRNA from 1 species